GCAUGUGUUUUCUGUUCUUGAUUAGUAACCACACUACCUGAAGCAUUCAAAAAAUCACAUAUGGAUUUGAAUUUAGCAAGAUACUCCCUAAUCAUCAAAUCAGUCUUUCGCUGGGAAUGAAGAUUAUGUCGAAGAGAAGAAAUCUUGGCACUGGAACGAGCACCAAACAGACGAGAUAUAGUAUUUUAGAUUGAUAUCACAGUUGUAAGUCCAGUCAAGUGCAGAACCUCUAUACUUACAGUAGUUAAAAGACAGGAAGCAAGCACUUUAUCUUGAUGGCGAUGAGUUGCAAACACUGGAUUCUCUUCAAGUUUUCCAGACGCAUUAGUGAUGAACUCAUCUUAAACCCUCCGCCUCUUGAAUGAGCACCCUCGUAGAUGUAUCCUAAACCCUGUACAUGUUCACCUAUCAUAUAUACAUUUUUGUUGUAAACAAGUGAACUGCCUAGUUAUUCAUACGGGAGGUGAACCGAAAAUUAGAGGCCUCCAAAUACAACACUUUUUGUUUGGCCUCCUAGGUGAAGGGACUAAUUUUGAAUUGAUGAACGACGGUGGAGUUGAUAUUUGUUAUUAUUGUUUGUGCAUCUCCCUCAAGAUGACUCAUGAAAUACAUCUCAAUUGUGAACUCCAGAGCAUGGACUACUGCUCGAGCCUCUGCCUCGAAAGUAGAGUCAAAGUUUACUUUAAUAAAAGAAACAAGAGGGUAAGACCAGCAAACCUGUGUGAUUGGGACUGGACAUGAGAGCUGAUCAGUAGUAGAUCUGUACUCUAAACAGUGGGCACGAAAAAAGGUACAUUCAACCGUAAGGAGGGGAGCUGAAAAAACAAGUGCCCUUUUACAAAAAUGUGUUGUUUCAAGUAAGGAGGAUCUCCAAAAGACAUGUUUCAUCACCAAUGGACAAGACGUUCUGAAGAGUUGCUACCAAGAGCCUUAUGCAUUCUCCAAUCAUGUAAAUACUAACCAAGGAGGAUUUCGAGAGAUAUGUUCCUAUUCGAGAGGAUAAGUGACAAAAAAGUA